rnacentral:rRNA from 1 species
GAUGAAGCUAGCGGGAGGCUUAACACAUGCAAGUCGAGGGGCAGCAUAGGGUAGCAAUACUCCGAUGGCGACCGGCAAACGGGUGAGUAACGCGUAUGCAACCUACCCUGUACAGGGGGAUAACCCGGAGAAAUUCGGACUAAUAUCCCGUAAUAAUAUCCGGAGGCAUCUUUGGAUAUUUAAAGUUCCGACGGUACGGGAUGGGCAUGCGUAACAUUAACUGGUUGGUAAGGUAACGGCUUACCAAGGCUAUGAUGUUUAGGGGUCCUGAGAGGGUGGUCCCCCACACUGGUACUGAGACACGGACCAGACUCCUACGGGAGGCAGCAGUGAGGAAUAUUGGUCAAUGGGCGCAAGCCUGAACCAGCCAUCCCGCGUGCAGGAAGACGGCCCUAUGGGUUGUAAACUGCUUUUCCAGGGAGAGAAACUUACGCACGUGUUGCGUGACUGACGGUACCCUGGGAAUAAGCAUCGGCUAACUCCGUG